rnacentral:rRNA from 1 species
AUUGAACGCUGGCGGCAGGCCUAACACAUGCAAGUCGAGCGGAUGAAGGGAGCUUGCUCCUGGAUUCAGCGGCGGACGGGUGAGUAAUGCCUAGGAAUCUGCCAGGUAGUGGGGGAUAACGUCCGGAAACGGGCGCUAAUACCGCAUACGUCCUGAGGGAGAAAGUGGGGGAUCUUCGGACCUCACGCUAUCAGAUGAGCCUAGGUCGGAUUAGCUAGUUGGUGGGGUAAAGGCCUACCAAGGCGACGAUCCGUAACUGGUCUGAGAGGAUGAUCAGUCACACUGGAACUGAGACACGGUCCAGACUCCUACGGGAGGCAGCAGUGGGGAAUAUUGGACAAUGGGCGAAAGCCUGAUCCAGCCAUGCCGCGUGUGUGAAGAAGGUCUUCGGAUUGUAAAGCACCUUAAGUUGGGAGGAAGGGCAGUAAGUUAAUACCUUGCUGUUUUGACGUUACCAACAGAAUAAGCACCGGCUAACUUCGUG